UAGUCCACGCUGUAAACGAUGAGUGCAAGGUGUUGGGGGUCAAACCUCGGUGCCGCCGUUAACACAGUAAGCACUCCGCCUGGGGAGUACGUACGCAAGUAUGAAACUCAAAGGAAUUGACGGGGACCCGCACAAGUAGCGGAGCAUGUGGUUUAAUUCGAUGCAACGCGAUGAACCUUACCAAGUCUUGACAUAUUUCGGAGGGAUUUAGAGAUAAGUUCCGAGGACUUCGGUCCACUGAAAAAC
rnacentral:rRNA from 1 species